UACGUAGGGCGCAAGCGUUGUCCGGAAUUAUUGGGCGUAAAGAGCUCGUAGGCGGUUUGUCGCGUCUGCUGUGAAAACCUAAGGCUCAACCUUGGGCUUGCAGUGGGUACGGGCAGACUAGAGUGCGGUAGGGGUGACUGGAAUUCCUGGUGUAGCGGUGAAAUGCGCAGAUAUCAGGAAGAACACCCGUGGCGAAGGCGGCUCUCUGGGACGGUACUGACGCUGAGACGCGAAAGCGUGGGGAGCGAACAGGAU
rnacentral:rRNA from 1 species